GUGUGUGUGUGUGUGUGUGUGUGUGUGUGUGUGUGUGUGUGUGUGUGUGUGUGUGUGCAGGCGGAUACAGAGCGCGCGGGCUCAUUCACACGCGCGCGCACACACGCCACACUCGACCGGACGAAAUGUAAAGUAAUAAUAAUACAAAAAAUAAUUUAAAAAAGGUGCGACCACGACGUAUAAUUCUCAUUCAGGUCGAAUUUGGCCGGUUUGCUAAAGGGCGCUAAUAUCGCGAGUAUAAAAACGGAUCGUACUCAACAACUGUCACAAAGUGUCACGAGCCCUCAGCUGUCCUCGCGCGCUGGGAGAUGUGAUAACUGCACACGGAAAGUCGAGCUGCGUCUCGCGCUUCAACAACAGCAUCAACAACAACAACAACAGCAACAACAACAACAGCUUGCAGCUCCUAUAGCUUAUGUAACACUAUAUUCAACUUGACUACAUGUUAUGCACGUUUAUAAGCUUUAAUAACGCAGUUCUAAAAGAGUUAGAGUUGCACAUGACAGAUUGUCACCUUUCUGUUCUGUUUCUCUUGUUAUUGUUGCAUGUGAAACUUCUUUUCACACCCGCUUUCACUUCGCACCGCAUCACCUGCUGUUCCGCGACACGACCAGAGGGCGAGCGGGGCGGAAGAUGUGCCCUGGAGAGAGAACUGGGAAGCGGAGUCAUUAAUUGAAUUUCACAGAGAGCGGCUGUGAGGCGGAAAAUCCGGAACGGAUUCAUCUGCACUGACCCGGGACCUUAACCUGCUCAAAGAGGGCGUGUCCUAAACAUCAGUGACAUAUAUACAGUAUAUGAAUAUGAGCGUGGCUUCUAAUAUGGCAGCACUCAAAGAUGUCAUUUUUCUAUAUGGGCUGAUUAUCAUUACAUACCACAUCAUUUUCAGCUAACAGCACAACUCAGAAAUAAGUUCCAUCUCUAUCACGAACUUUAGGUUAAUAUUAGGUUUAAUUAGGUUGUAAUACAUUAUUGUUUAUAUAGUAACUGCUUGUUUACAGCAAUUUGUACCACGAACGCUCCAUAUAAAGGCUAAUAACAAAACAUGUAACAAAGUAUUGUGGUUUAACGAGUAAAACAUAUAACCCUUGAUAUUGUGACGUGAUAUUGUAUAUAUUUUUAGGAGGAUUUAUUUUACAUUUUUGUUAGUUUUGUUAAAAAUAGUUGUAAUCGCUUUGUAACGGUCAGUUUCCCAGCAUGGGAAAGUUUUUAAUACAAUGGAGUUUAAAUUUUCUCUUUUGUAAAUUUUUCUAAUUUUGACACAGAGAGAGAAAGAGAGAGAGAACGACUGUCAAUUGCAUCUAUAACUUUCUGUGAGCAUCACCAGGAACUAAUUUGUCUCUCAGACAUGUCAUGAGUUUAAAUCUAACCAUUUACCAUUAAAAUGUUUGACUUGCUAUUCAUUAAUAUAUUAAACAUUCUAAUCACUGGCAAA